rnacentral:tRNA from 1 species
GCCUGGGUGGCUCAGUCGGUUGAGCGUCUGACUUCGGCUCAGAUCAUGAUCUCACAGUUUGUGAGUUCAAGCCCUGUGUUGGGCU